UUCACCUGCAAAAAUUGAUUUAUUACGAGUAAAUAUCCUAGAAUAUAAAUUUCAGAGGUCAGGCAAACUAAAACAUGUGAAAUAUUUGGCGAAAAUUUUUUUUAUUCUUGAUAACUACUCGAGAGAAAAAAAAUGUCGCUAAGGGCCAAAGACAGAUAAAAAAAAGAAUGAAAUAAUAGCUGUGAAGUAAUUGGAAUUGAAUUCUAAUCGACAUAAAGGAAGAGA